AUGAUCACUACUAAGCUUAAUGACAUUGUUUGUAAUUUAGUACUUCUUUUUCACUUGUUUACAAAAGAAAUGACUCUGAAUUUUUCAGCUCCAGUACCUUGGUCGAGUGAAAUCGUUUCUGCUCAGAUGUCCGCUGCCCCGCUGGAGUACUUCGUAAUGUUGUUCUAAUGAUGAAAAAAGCAUAGUGAUGAGAGUGGGCUAUCAAAGUAUCAAUGUGUGGGAUUUCUGCUGCUUUGUUACAGUCAUCUGACUUUUUCAUUUUUACUCGGUGACUUUCUGAGGAAAGAGUUCUGCUAAAAAAGAUAAAAAAGAUAUGCACGCGAGAGAUGUUUACUCUGAGAUUAUGCUGAUGCCGGAUGCAUCACAAACACAUAUUAUUCGAACUGCAAAUCGGAGAAUUUUUUCAUAAUCCUGAACUUAAUUUAAAAUCCUUACUUAAAAUCAGUUCUCAUCCAAUACUUCACAGAGAUUGCAUCUAAGCGAGUAACAGGACGCUCGCAAUAUCUUAUAUAUAUAUAUUUUCUUGUGUUUGAAAUCAUUAUAUCUCAAGUUUGGCACAUAUAAUUCUCCCAAACUCUUACACAUUAUCCGUCAUAUAGCCAUGUAACUAUCUGGAAAGUUUAAAGAAAAUCUAUCAGUCAGACCUUGAGAAAAUCAUUAGAAAUAUAUUCUAAGUUAUUCACAAAAACACUGUAUUUUCGAAUUUUUUAACUUUUUAUUUUGAA